rnacentral:rRNA from 1 species
GACAGAGGGUGCAAACGUUGUUCGGAAUUACUGGGCGUAAAGCGCGUGUAGGCGGCCCUGCAAGUCGGAUGUGAAAUCCCACGGCUCAACCGUGGAAGUGCAUUCGAAACUGCAGGGCUAGAGUCCUGGAGAGGAAGGUGGAAUGCUUGGUGUAGAGGUGAAAUUCGUAGAUAUCAAGCGGAACACCGGUGGCGAAGGCGGCCUUCUGGACAGUGACUGGCGCUGAGACGCGAAAGCGUGGGGAGCAAACGGG